rnacentral:pre_miRNA from 1 species
GCCGGGAAGAAAACAAAAGAGAGAGCUCGAGAGCAAUAGGAAUGGGAAUAUAGAGGAAGGUCCUCCUUGUUUGUUUGCACCUCUAGUGUUGGGGUGCAAAUAUUUGGCAUGAAUCCUUUCCUCAUGGCUCCCAUUCUUACCGUUCUUGUGCACUCCUUCCUCUUCCUUUUGGCU